CCCUGGUUAGCUCAAAUGGGUAGGGCGCUCCCCCUGUAAUGGAGAGGUCUCGGGUUCGAUACCCGGGCCAAGGC
rnacentral:tRNA from 1 species